rnacentral:miRNA from 1 species
AAAGAAGUUGCCCAUGUUAUUUUCGCUUUUAUAUGUGACGAAACAAACAUGGUGCACUUCUU